rnacentral:lncRNA from 1 species
GAUUUCCUCAACCCCUCAGGCUUCAUCUCAGUGCACUCCAGAGUUCUGCCUCCAGAUGUGGCUGCUCUCACUCCUUCCCUUUUUGUUCCAGUUCUUGUGGCAUUGUGCUGUGACAAAUGGGAUGGCAUUUUGUGGACUUUCUUUCGAGGAGAAAAAACCCUGGUACUGAAGUCAUCCAGGAGCAGUGAAAGCCCCACCUCCAAAGCACACAGGGCUGGUACUGAGUGUUUCCUCCAUGUGUUAGUCCCUGUGGCACGGCCGCCUGCUGAAUCCACCGAGGAACUUGCCUUUGGGUCCCCCUGUUUACAACAAAGUGCCACCAGCUUCACCUCUUCCGCUCUCUCCGUAUGCAUGUAAGGUGUGGGUCCCAUUGGCCCCAAACCAUCUCUGGAACUGAGGUCCAGCCUGCAGCAGAGCCAGCUUUUCUCUCUGCAUCGUCUCCUGCCUUCUGAAGUCCUGUUGCAUGCUCCAGACAGUUUGGGUGUCUUCAUCCAGGAGCUGGGCUUCCAGGAAGCCUGAUGGCCAGCAAACAAGCUGGAAAUGUGGAUUUGUCAGAACUAUAAUCCAGGUACCUCCUAGCAUUCUGCUUGUGUAAAGCCACACGCUUCGUCCUUAUAUCUGCCUCUCUCCCUGCAGCCUCCAUCCCUGCCAGGCUGCGCUGCUGGUCCUGCUAAGCCAUAACACUGACAUGUAUUUCUGCUCUUCCUUAGCAUACAUGUCCAAGGCACAACCCCA